AGAAUCAACGCUGGCGGCGUGCCUAACACAUGCAAGUCGAACGAGAAAGUGGAGCAAUCCAUGAGUACAGUGGCGACCGGGUGAGUAACACGUGAUCAACCUACCCUCGAGUGGGGAAUAACUCCGGGAAACCGGAGCUAAUACCGCAUAAAAUCUUCGGUCCACAUGAACUGAUGAUCAAAGGAGCAAUUCGCUUGAGGAGGGGUCGCGGCUGAUUAGCUAGUUGGUAGGGUAAUGGCCUACCAAGGCUUAGAUCGGUA
rnacentral:rRNA from 1 species